rnacentral:rRNA from 1 species
AUACGUAGGGGGCGAGCGUUGUCCGGAAUUACUGGGCGUAAAGGGUGCGUAGGCGGAUAUGCAAGUCCGAUGUGAAAUGUUACGGCUUAACCGUGGAGUUGCAUUGGAAACUGUGUAUCUAGAGUACAGGAGAGGGAAGCGGAAUUCCUAGUGUAGCGGUGAAAUGCGUAGAUAUUAGGAGGAACACCAGUGGCGAAGGCGGCUUCCUGGACUGACACUGACGCUGAGGCACGAAAGCUGGGGCAGCGAACAGGAGUAGAUACCCUGGUAGUCCCAGCCGUAAACGAUGGGUACUAGGUGUUGUGACUUCAUUGUGGCAGUGCCGGAGUUAACGCAAUAAGUACCCCGCCUGGGGAGUACGGCCGCAAGGCUGAA